GACGAACGCUGGCGGCGUGCCUAAUACCUGCCAGUCGAGCGAAGCGGCGGAUGGGUGAGUAACGCGUGGGUUACCUGCCCUUAAGUGUGGGCUACCAUUUGGAAACAGAUGCUACUACCGGAUACUAAUGGCUGGACCUGCGAUGCAUUAGCUAGUUGGUAAGGGAACGGCUUACAAAGGCGAUGAUGCAUAUCCGAGUUGAGAGACUGAUCGGCCACACUGGAACUGAGACACGGUCCAGACUCCUACGGGAGGCAGCAGUGGGGAAUAUUGCACAAUGGGCGCAAGCCUGAUGCAGCCAUGCCGCGUGUAUGAAGAAGGCCUUCGGGUUGUAAAGUACUUUCAGCGAGGAGGCGUUACUCGCAGAAGAAGCACCGGCUAACUCCGUGCCAGCCGCCGCGGUAAUAC
rnacentral:rRNA from 1 species